UGUAAGAGCCUCCACCGUCAUCAGACGAAGAAAUCAAAGAGCAGUUGAAGGGGUACGAUGGAAGCGGGAAAUCUUCUUCUUCGUCGUCCAAUCGUCAUCCGAAUAUUCAACCCCAAACAACCACCACCACCCCCUUCCCUUCCUCCUCGUCUCCCCUCCUCCUUCCCGCCCUCCUUUAGGGUUUCUUCCGACUUACAGCGAGGUUACAGGGGACCGAAGCCGAGAAGGGAAUGGGUGGCAGACUGGGUAUCAAGAAACGACGACGCCGUGCGGAGCUUGCCAAUCUACGUCGGCGCCGUCUCUCUGUUGGCUGUUCUCGUCAAUCGCGGCGUUUCGGGCAUAGCUCCUGUUGCCAAUGCCAGUAGUUCACAGUCUAGAGCAGAUCUAUUGACACUUGGUUUGGCAGUAACAAAUAUUCUGGCAGGACUGGUAUGGCUGUCAAUUCGGCCAAAAACUAUAGUAGCGGUAAGUCCUCAAGGCGUGGAGUGUCUGAGGCUAAAUUCCCAUCUUCCAGAUUUUGUAAUUUCUGAGUUAAUAUGGAGAAGUUUCUCAUAUGUCCUUCACAGGCUGCUUUUUGACAAUCUUUGUACCUUUCCCAGGAUUUGGGAAUCUCUGUCAGCUGCGACUUGCUGCAGAUCUCUAGCUAUUGUUUAUGAUAGCAAACUUAUCCUUCAAACAGGGGUUGCUGCAUCAUCCUCUGCUAACGACAGGGAAGCAGUGCCUAUCGAUGCCAGUACCUUAAUGCAAGGUGCACUCUACCGAAGUGUUUUAGACUCGGGGUCACAGAGCUACUUGGCAAAUCUCUCUCUUUAUCCUGGGAAGUCAGAACUACCAUUUCUGCCUCCUAAUAUGCAGGCGGUCAUCUUGCAACCGCUUGGAGACAAAGGAAUUGCAAUUAUUGGUGGAGAUACGAUUAGGGGAUUUACAACUUCUGACCAGGCAUGGAUUUCGUUACUUGGAGAUAAGUUGGAUGCUACGCUUACAAAAUGUGCAAACAACCUUGCUGUGGCCGUGCAAGAUAGAGACUGAAAUCAACAACUUGUACAUGUAUCUUGAUUUUAUGUCAGCUCAACGUUCCUCGAAGCUUUUCUUCAAUCCAAAGGGAAGAACAAAGUUAACAACAGAACAGACUUAGAAGGAUGAGGAUCAUGGGUUCGAAAGGCAGCCAACCAAUACUUAAUAAGUAGAAGUCACAGGGCUCAUACUAAGAUGAGGAACUAAUGACUGGAACGGUAGGGUAGGGGCAAGAUGAGGAACGAAAGCUAGGGUAUUCUCAGACUGACUUUAGAGGAAAGAAGGAUUCCUUUUAGUACUGAGCCUUGGCUCAAAAGGACCUAAAUGAAGAAGGCUCUGCAAGAAAUCUUGGGAGGCGGUGUUUUCUCGUUCAAUAUUUGUGCAAUUUUGAUGUGCUUCCCAUCUUUAUGUCAGAAAUUCUUCUCGUAGUUUGACUAGAGUUUUAGGUAUACUUCGAAUAUGCAAAAACGCGUCCAUUAUUUCCCGAUCUCCUCCAUUGAUUUUGCUGCUUCUUUCGAUUAUACUCCAAAUAAUUCACUAUUCGGAAUUAAUUUUCUUUAAAAGAUUAGCUACCUAA